GACGAACGCUGGCGGCGUGCUUAACACAUGCAAGUCGAACGGAAAGGCCCUGCUUUUGUGGGGUGCUCGAGUGGCGAACGGGUGAGUAACACGUGAGUAACCUGCCCUUGACUUUGGGAUAACUUCAGGAAACUGGGGCUAAUACCGGAUAGGAGCUCCUGCUGCAUGGUGGGGGUUGGAAAGUUUCGGCGGUUGGGGAUGGACUCGCGGCUUAUCAGCUUGUUGGUGGGGUAGUGGCUUACCAAGGCUUUGACGGGUAGCCGGCCUGAGAGGGUGACCGGCCACAUUGGGACUGCGAGAGGGCCCAGACUCCUACGGGAGGCAGCAGUGGGGAAUAUUGCACAAUGGGCGGAAGCCUGAUGCAGCAACGCCGCGUUCGGGAUGACGGCCUUCGGGUUGUAAACCGCUUUCGCCUGUGACGAAGCGUGAGUGACGGUAAUGGGUAAAGAAGCACCGGCUAACUACGUG
rnacentral:rRNA from 1 species